rnacentral:lncRNA from 10 species
CAAUGACCCCACACGAUCUUACCUGCUCCUCAGACCACAGCCAAGGAAGAGAUUUCUGACAAACAAGCAAAAACACAACACUGUCCACACAACUGUAAAUAUGCAAGGAAGAGUUUCUUCUUGCCUGAAAACUGCUGUACAAGCAUGGCACCAGCAUCUGAGGCAAAAGGGGAGCUGGCAUGUGCAGAGAUUACAUGGCAAGAGAGGAUGCAAGAGAGAGAGAACGAGGUGCCAGAUUCUUUAACCGUCAGAUCUCAUGGGAAAUAAGGAUACAAAUUCUGGAGCAGCAACUGAUUUACCAGGAAACACUGAGGAGUAGAGCAAGGUAAAGAAUUUUAACUGUUUGGGGUUCGUUACUUCACACUUAAGAAAUCUACAAACCACAGGAAAUGAAACUUGACUAAAUGCAGAUGACACAGACAGCCAACUCCGAAAAUGUGCUGGGCUCCACUCAGUUCUAGGUGACCUUUAGCAAAAAGAGGGUGUUCUGAUGAAACCCUUUGACCAUAACCAACAGCCUCCAACUUACAGGAUUCUCCCCUCGUAUGACCAAGUGGUGUAAUCUUUGAGGUCCUGGCAGCACAGGUUGAGUGCAACCUAAAAGAGAAUGAGGAUUCCACAAGGUCUUCUGGAAUGGUACACUUAUUGGAAACUUGUUUCAGCAUUCAAAAAAACCUGGCCUGUUUCUAAAGCAAUGCAUGGUUUAAGAGGAAUGGCAAAUUGAAGCCAACGUUUUUCAAACACAUUUCACUUAAAAAAAAAUGGCCACUAGAAAGAAUGCAACUUAUUUUCAAAAAGAAUUAUCUCAAGAAAGCAUGGUUGGCCCAUUCAUCCAUCUCCCUGCCCACAAGGGAAUGAAUGAAUGAAGACAAGAUGUGCCACCUCUGAAAGACUGUUAAUCUCCCUCUCUCUAUAAAAGUGGUACUAUGUAAUUUCUACUCAUUUGGUUACAAAUAAAAUUAGUAAGUGAAGGAUCCGUAGUUUCUGUAUGUCACCUACAAACCUGAGUCUUUGUGCUAAAAUUGUUCAAAUAUUCAAUUGAAUCUUAUUCAAUACCAAUGCUUUUGUAUAUUGCAUGUGGUAUAUGUGCAUGGUGCUUGGCUUAUUCUGAGAGCCAUUUGGUGGAAUAAGAAGAGAGUAAAUGAAGCCUCAUUCUAGAACUUUCUUUCUAAAGUAAAAAGGCAGAGCAACCCAUAGAAGGCUCUAGAAAAGGAACACAUACCAUGGAAAGGAAAAAGGAAAGAGAUGCUACCCAGGUCAUGAGGUUUGGAUUUGUGUCCUUCCCCAAACCUCAUGUCAAAUUGUAACCCCCAAUGUUGGAGGAGGGGCCUGGCAGGAGGUGACUGGAUCAUGUGAGUGGAUUUUCCCCUGUUCUUGUGAUAGUGAGCUCUCACUAGAUCUGGUUGUUUAAAAGUAUGUAGCACCUUCCACUUCGCCCUCUUCCUCCUUCUCCAGCCAUGUAGGACCUGCCUACUUCCCCUUCACCUUCUGCCACAACUGUAAGUUUCCCAAGGCCUCCCCAGCCACGCUUCCUGUACAGCCUGCAGAACUGUGUUCCAAUUAAAC